AUACUUACCUGGACGGGGUCAACGGGCGAUCAAAAAGACUCGUGGCCUAGGCCGGUGGGCCCCAUUGCACAUAGGGUGCUGCGCUGGCUUACCAUCUGUCCACGUGGCAGAAUGGACGUCAUAAUUUGUGUCAGAGGGGGUACGCGUGCGCGCGGCCCCUGC